UCCAACUCUAAUUCUAAAAAGGAUAAAUGAUCGAUACAAAAAUAUAAUCCGAUUUAAAAGUACAGAGUCAAAUCCCAAAAAAAAACUAACAUCUAGCUACAAUUAUUUACUAUCACUAAGAAGAGAAGCUCGAACAAUUCCUAAGUUAUAUAUUUAUGUGUUUCCAUUCACAUAGCUAGAACAACGUUAUGCACUCAAUGGACUACGCAUCCAGCAUAAAAGUUCAAGUCACAGAAUAUAUGCCAGGUAAAAACUCAAUCCAAUUUCUCUACACACCAGCUACUAAAUAACUUAAAGCACUUUUCCGUGUGCAUAUGACUAACUACAUAAAAAAGAAAUUUUUUCAUUAGAUUAUCAAGUAGAAAGAUUGUGCGAUAUCAGUACUGUUGUUUGUAGAUGGUACAAUCGAAAAACUACAGCAUCCGCCAUAAAACUUAACAUACUUGUGAUAACCACAAAACUAUGUCUCUUGCAGUUCCAUGUUAGGAUUUACAUUAGCACAAGAGCAACAAAGCAUCCUAAAUAAUCACACUAGUAACAGUGAUUCAGAAACUCCAAGCACGUUCCCUGAUAAGACAAAUAUGAAAGUGAAUUGGAAUUCUUGAAGGUAGAGUAAUUUGAUAAAAAACAAAUAUGCAAUCUGACAAUAGGGGUUGCUCUGAUGGUAAGCAACAUCCACUUCCAACCGAGAGGUUGUGAGUUCGAAUCUACCCAAGAGCAAGGUGGGAAGUUCUUGGAGGGAAGGAUGCCGGGGGUCUAUUUGGAAACAGCCUCUCUACCCAAGGGUAUGGGUAAGGUCUGCGUACAUACUAUCCUCCCCAUACCCCACUAAGUGGGAUUAUACUGAGUUGUUGUUGAACCAAAGGACAUAGUAAAGAUAUAUAGAUAACAAGACACUAUAUCCAUUCUCAAGACACAAUAAGAUGUGAUGAAAUGCAUUUCUUAAGCAAAAUCCUUUGAAAAUAAGGGAAAUUGAUCCUAUUCAGGAUUCUUGGAUGCUUAAGAAGAUAAUUAAAGUAAGGAAAGCUGUGGAAGAUGUUGGGGUUACUAUGCUUGACAUGCAGCAAAUGAAAACUUUCUUAAUUAGAAGAUGUAUCAUCAAAUGAGGGAUUCCUAUACUAGAGUGGCUUGGAGAAAACUGAUAUAUAAUAACCAAGGACAACCUUGUAAACGGUUGUUCAUCUUAAACCUGGCAGCAAAUAGGAAACUGAAUACAAAGGAGAAGUUGAUCAAAGGGAGUUAUUGACAACCAGGUGUGUCCUCUGUGUGCUACUGCAGUACAUAUGAAAGGAAAAAGUCCCAAAGCUGUCAUACACAGAGUGACUAUUGCAGGAUGUUUGUACUCCGCGUGGCGUAGAAAUAAUAUGGUUUUUCAGGGAAAAAAACGAAGUAGUGAGAUGGUUGUUAGGCAAGUUAUACAGCAUAUCUUCUCACUAGAAUGAUACAUAUUGUAGUGUAACAGGGUUGGACGAGGUGUUAAUUUCUUUUAAGUUGGAUAAGGGGCAUUUUGCUAAUUCUUACACCAAACAAACAGACUCUUAAAACAUUUAGGAUACUUGGGGCGUCAUUUCCCUUAAAACAUAGGUUACCAAACCAAAUGGCUACAGUCACCGAGUACUAGACAAUGGACGGAUCGGAGUAGCAUGGGUGUUGCCACGAAGUCAUUAUUGGAUCAAGUGGAGAACAAUAUGGAAAAAUAGUGCAUGAAGAUAGAGAAGUAUACAUCUAUUACACAAAUUUGUUAUAUGGAUAGAAUAUUAUGAUGUAUAAUAAGACAUGAAGAUGCUCGUGAAGCUUAAUCAAGCAAUGCCGAGAUGAGCAUGGGUAGCUCGGCUCAAGCUUAGUGUAGCACCACGAAUUCUGGACUAAGAAGUCAUAUGUCUCCAAGGCACUGAAGGUUGAUAACCUAAUAUGUUAUACCCACAUCAAAUAAUGGGAAUAAAGCCAAAGCAACAAAUUUACAACUUACUUCGCCCUUGAAUUCAUUCAGCCGAGUGCCAGGCCUGCCAAGAUAAAUUCAGAAAUUAGCCAAAUUAGAUUCAGAUAUUAGCACCAGAGGAAAGAAAAAAAUUCUGCAAAU
rnacentral:lncRNA from 1 species